rnacentral:rRNA from 1 species
UACGUAGGUGGCAAGCGUUGUCCGGAUUUACUGGGCGUAAAGAGCGCGCAGGCGGUCGUUCAAGUCGCGUGUGAAAGCCCCCGGCUCAACUGGGGAGGGUCACGCGAUACUGAUCGACUCGAAGGCAGGAGAGGGUAGUGGAAUUCCCGGUGUAGUGGUGAAAUGCGUAGAUAUCGGGAGGAACACCAGUGGCGAAGGCGGCCUUCUGGACCAAUACUGACGCUCAUGCACGAAAGCGUGGGGAGCAAACAGG